GAUGAACGCUAGCGGCAGGCCUAAUACAUGCAAGUCGAACGGGAUUAGGGAGCUUGCUCCCUAUGAGAGUGGCGCACGGGUGCGUAACACGUAUGGAACCUACCUCCAACAGGGGGAUAGCCUUCCGGAAGGGAGAUUAAUACCGCAUAACAUAAUGCAACGGCAUCGUUUUAUUAUCAAAUGUAUAGGGUUAAAGAAGGGCAUGCGUCCGAAUAGUUUGUUGGUGAGGUAACGGCUCACCAAGACUACGAACGGAAGGGGGUCUGAGAGGAGUGCCGCCAACACUGGUACUGAGACACGGACCAGACUCCUACGGGAGGCAGAAGUAAGGAAUAUUGGUCAAUGGACGCAAGUCUGAACCAGCCAUGCCGCGUGCAGGAAGACGGUCCUCUGGAUUGUAAACUGCUUUUGUUAGGGAAGAAACCCUCGGAUGCGUUCGAGGCUGACGGUACCUAAAGAAUAAGGAUCGGCUAACUCCGUGCCAGCCGCCGCAGUAAGAC
rnacentral:rRNA from 1 species